GCUAACUUCUGUCCUUCCCGUAUCCAGGAAUGUAGCCGCAUCUAGCUAGCUAGCUAACUAAUUGACAGGCUGGAACAGGUGUAAGGCUAAUGAAUAUACAUACUUUAUAGCAAUAAAGUAUGUAAAUAUAAACUUUGUCCUCGGAAUAGACAGACGUUUUCAGCACUAAAAUUUAGCUAAGCGGUAUAACGGUUAAAACCGUUUACGACAGUUGCUGUUUUUCAGUUGACUUUUAACGGCUAGCACCAUGAAUGUUAAAGCUACAAACAUCUUUCAAAGUCGCGCCUUAUGUUAUAUUUUGCUUUUUCUUGAAGGAUUUGUGGGGAUGCUGGGUCUCACCGUUUCACUUCAAGAAGGACAAAGCUACCAGCCGACAACACAGUGAUGUCAGACACGCCCAUCUACAAACCAGUCAGUGUCAUGUAUAGGGAGAUGCAGGCUGUGACGACAGGUGGAUCUACAGUAA